GUUAUAAGAUUUCCUCAUGCGUUUACAGGAAAGAAAGUUUAUUUUUAACCACUAACCCAGUGUGUUGAGUUUCAUCUCGCAAGGUGAUAAGCGUUUAUGACACUGUUUAUGUGAGUGAUUGCUUUUAUUUUGUUUAUGAAAGUUUAAAUAACUUAGUUUGAACCGAGUUCGCUGCACCGCGCAACACGAAGACAUGUGAGUUCAUCAGAGAUCAAAGUGAGAGAACUGUGUGCAUCGAAGAGUAUUGGAGUGAUCUUUAAACAUCGAUGGAGUUUGAAUAAACUACAGACGCCGAGAUAGAAGAUUUGCUGUUGAUUCAGCGGACUGCUGAGAGUGGUUACGGGCAAAUCGCUGAUCUACGUGGAGUUUGUGGAUGAUCGUUUGGGUUCGUUUGGAUUCCAAAGAGGAGUUCAGGUGAGGACCAACAUGAUUGAGUACUUAGAAAACGCAGAGGCCAAUCAACCAUUUCCACACAUUGUGUGCUUGGGGGAUGAGACGACGACGUGCCAAGCCUUCACCAUUAUUUCAGGCCACACCAUUGAAACUGAGUCUUUGUUUGGAGCUGUGGACCUGCGUUUCAAGACUUUUUUUGUCUUUGACAUUAAUUACACCAAGCAGUGCGUCCCCACAUGGGAGUUUCUGAAGCACGGCCUGUACCAUAUUGAUGGACAUGAGUCCUCAUCUGUUAAGUUUUUGAGGACAUCAGUUUGUUCAAUCCGCAUUUAGGAUUCCCAAACCAGCAUAUCACGAAGUGCAUUCUGGGUUGAGCGAGCGGCACUGAGCGGCCUGAGCGAGCGGAGCGGAAUCUUCAAAAAGGCGCUCUCCGCUCAGGUGAAAUUAUCACCGCUCCACUUUGCUCACAUGCUCUGCCCUGUACACACUUGAAUAAAGAUCAUUUUUAAGGAAGGACUUAAUUAUAAUAAUAAUUGUAUUUAUUUAUCACACAUAUACAGUGAAAUUCUUUUUUUCACAUAUCCCAGCUAAGCUGGGGGUCAGAGUGCAGGGUCAGCCAUGAUACAGUGCCCCUGGAGCAGAUAGGGUCAAGGGCUUUGUUCAAGGGCCCAACAGCAGCAUCUUGGCAGUACUGGGGCUUGAACCCCUGACCUUCUGAUCAGUCACCUAGAGCCUUAACCACUGAGCCACCACUGCCCAUAAUCACCGCAAUCACCACAAUCACACCAAGUAUGAUUGCUUUCCUUGGCAAUGUAAUUGAGUACAAGUAGCCUGUUCUCAAUAAUACUCAAGUAAAGUAUAAAUAACACUUAAGUAAUAAAGCACUUUACACCACUGGUUUGCAAACACUGUUUCACUGAUUAACUCAUUGUUUUCACGAUAAAUUAAUUCCAGAUUAUUUCCAAACCCAGGCUUUCCAGUGAAGCAGUGCAUGAAAAACCUGAGAUGGGCAGAAAUACUCUUUACAAGAGCAGUUUCCUCCUUGGUAUUCAUCUAAAAAACAUCAGCCAUUGUAUACAUUUUCCAUUAGGUCCUCGUGGUGGCACGGUUACUCACCUCAAUCUGGGUGGUAGAGGAGAAGUCUCAGUUGCCUCCACUUCUGAGACAGUCAAUCUGCACAUCUUAUCAAGUGGCUCACUGUGCAUGACACCGCAGUGACUCACAGCAUGUGGAGCAAUGCACAACUUACCACGUGCCCUAUUGAGACUGAGAACCCCUAAUCAUGAUCGUGAGGAGGUUACCCCAUUUGACUCUACCUUCCCUAGUAACUGGGACAAUCUGGUUGCUUAGGAGACCUGGCUGGUGUCACUCAGCACACCCUGGAUUCAAACUCAUGACUCCAGGUGUGGUAGUCAGCAUCAAUACCCGCUGAGCUACCCAGGCCCCCUGUGAGUCACUUCUAAAACUCAUAUUGUAAGGCAAAUACUCAGAUGUCAGCACUGAAACAGCACUGGAUUAAUGACCUGGAUUUCUGCAUUUAAAACCUACAAUUUGUCUGACUGAAGUCUUUAGAAACUCUUCUAACCCUAUACAUUGUUAUGAGCUUAAAAAACUAUAACUCUUACUGGAUCAUGUAUUUUUUUCAUUGCUUGUACUUUUACACUGUUACUGUACUUAAGGACAUUUUUCAAGUACCUGCAUGUUUUCAGAGUAUUUUAACCAACACAAAAUAUGUAUCGUUUUAAAGUUUAGAAGCUAUAAUUUAUAAUGCAUGUAGCCAUUAUGCCCAUAACUGAUCAAGUGCUUUGAAAUGUUCCGAUUUGAUAAUUUAUUAAUAAUUUUGGACUGUACAUUUUAUUGUAAUCAGUAAAAACAUCAAUCUCAUCAAAUAGCCAUGUGUCAUAUGUUGUUGGAAAGCUCUCAAAGAGUAGAAAACAACCAACCAGCCUCUUUGUUUUACUCACUGACAAAAAUAUAGCGAGUAAUAGCUAAGUAUAUGUCUUUGACAAUUAUGUUGGUGUUGCUUAUAUGCCGCAUUUUCGCUUAUAACUUCAUGAAAAAUAAACGGAACAUAAAAUAUCACUUACACUACUUGAUUAUCAUUCAAACAAGCCCCCACACAAUGUAAUCGGAUGUAUAGAACGUUAGAUAAUCCACAUGAAGCACAAUGGCCACCAGGAGAUGGUGCCAAAUACAUGACAAAGACUCAAUGAUGACUCAUAUGGCACAGAAUGAAACUCAUUCUUUAAAAUCUCUUUAAUAAAAUCAUGUAUGCAUGCUAUGCAAACCUUUAGUCAUUGUUGUGUUUGCAUGUGUAAUUAGU